rnacentral:rRNA from 1 species
UACGGGGGGAGCAAACGUUGUUCGGAAUCACUGGGCGUAAAGGGCGUGUAGGCGGCUGGAUAAGUGGGAUGUUAAAUCCCCCGGCUCAACCGGGGACCUGCAUCUCAUACUGUUCAGCUCGAGCACAUCAGAGGAGACUGGAAUUCCCGGUGUAGCGGUGAAAUGCAUAGAUAUCGGGAGGAACACCAGUGGCGAAGGCGACUCUUUGGCCUGUAACUGACGCUGAGGCGCGAAAACGUGGGGAGCAAACAGG